UACGGGGGGAGCUAGCGUUAUUCGGAAUUACUGGGCGUAAAGCGCACGUAGGCGGCUUUGUAAGUAAGAGGUGAAAGCCCAGAGCUCAACUCUGGAAUUGCCUUUUAGACUGCAUCGCUUGAAUCAUGGAGAGGUCAGUGGAAUUCCGAGUGUAGAGGUGAAAUUCGUAGAUAUUCGGAAGAACACCAGUGGCGAAGGCGGCUGACUGGACAUGUAUUGACGCUGAGGUGCGAAAGCGUGGGGAGCAAACAGG
rnacentral:rRNA from 1 species